GAUUAACGCUGGCGGCGUGCAUAACACAUGCAAGUCGAACGAUGAAACUUUAAUGACCCCUUCGGGGAGAAUUAAAGCGGAUUAGUGGCGAACGGGUGAGUAACGCGUGAGUAACCUGCCUUACACAAGGGGAUAGCCUUUGGAAACGAAGAAUAAUACCCUAUAAAACCAUAAAAGCACAUGCAAUUAUGGUCAAAGUGAUAGCGGUGUAAGAUGGACUUGCGUCUGAUUAGCUAGUUGGUGAGAUAAAAGCCCACCAAGGCAACGAUCAGUAGCCGGCUUGAGAGAGUGUACGGCCACAUUGGGACUGAGACACGGCCCAGACUCCUACGGGAGGCAGCAGUGGGGAAUUUUGCACAAUGGGGGAAACCCUGAUGCAGCGACGCCGCGUGAUGUAGAAGGCCUUCGGGUUGUAAAAAUCUUUUGUAUAGGAAGAAAAUGACAGUACUAUACGAAUAAAGUCCGGCUAAUUACGU
rnacentral:rRNA from 1 species